UACAGAGGGUGCAAGCGUUAAUCGGAAUUACUGGGCGUAAAGCGCGCGUAGGUGGUUCGUUAAGUUGAAUGUGAAAUCCCCGGGCUCAACCUGGGAACUGCAUCCAAAACUGGCGAGCUAGAGUAUGGUAGAGGGUGGUGGAAUUUCCUGUGUAGCGGUGAAAUGCGUAGAUAUAGGAAGGAACACCAGUGGCGAAGGCGACCACCUGGACUGAUACUGACACUGAGGUGCGAAAGCGUGGGGAGCAAACAGG
rnacentral:rRNA from 1 species